UUGAAGGGACAGGGCAACAAAAUACAGU
rnacentral:piRNA from 1 species